GACGUAGGGGGGCCAGCGUUGUUCGGAAUUACUGGGUGUAAAGGGUUCGUAGGCGGUGCGGCAAGUUGGGAGUGAAAUCUCUGGGCUUAACCCAGAGGCUGCUUCCGAAACUGCUGUGCUUGAGUGUGGGAGAGGCGCGUGGAAUUGCAGGUGUAGCGGUGAAAUGCGUAGAUAUCUGCAGGAACACCCGUGGCGAAAGCGGCGCGCUGGACCACUACUGACGCUGAGGAACGAAAGCUAGGGGGAGCAAAACAGG
rnacentral:rRNA from 1 species